AUACGGAGGGUGCAAGCGUUAUCCGGAAUCAUUGGGUUUAAAGGGUCCGUAGGCGGACUAUUAAGUCAGAGGUGAAAUCCCACAGCUCAACUGUGGAACUGCCUUUGAUACUGGUAGUCUUGAGUCAUAUGGAAGUAGAUAGAAUGUGUAGUGUAGCGGUGAAAUGCAUAGAUAUUACACAGAAUACCGAUUGCGAAGGCAGUCUACUACGUAUAUACUGACGCUAAGGGACGAAAGCGUGGGGAGCGAACAGGAUUAGAAACCCCAGUAGUCC
rnacentral:rRNA from 1 species